UCAUGGCCCGCUAUAGUCGGCCUCCUCAUAUCGCGUACGGACGGAAGCCGGUGAAAAUCCGGCGCGGUCGCGCCACUGUGACCGCAGCCGAUGGCUGCGGGAGUCAGACCCGCCGGAUGCGAGCCUUGUCG
rnacentral:ncRNA from 1 species